GUGGCAAUUAAAAUAAGCAUGAAAUGUGCUUGGGCAUGCUCUUGGUCUCAUGCCCAUUUUGAAUAUUAACUCCAAGCCUUCAUUGCUAUUAUUUAGUAAUAAUGUUUAUUACUGGUAGGGCUGUAGUACCUGGGGGCCAAUCUUUUCAUUAUUCAGUAUAAGCACACAUCAGAAGUAGCUCUUCCCUCGAAGCGUUACUGCUGAAAUUGAAGGCUACCACAGGCUACUAGAUAGCUUAAACAUGGAAAUGUCAUCUAUAAAACAGCCCAGCCCCUGUACGUCAGUCCUUCCCAUUUUACAUCAGUGUAAGAAAACCUUAGCUCCAUGUGUCAGGCUCUUGGUUUUGUUUCCCUCUUACCCUGGUUUCCAUUACGUUUGAUAGGAAACCACGGCACUAUUUUUCCUCUUGGUUUCUAGCAUUUUUUUUUUUUGUUCAGUCCUGGGGAGAGGUUAGAAAAAACGAAGGGGCAGCAGGGUUUGGAAAUCUGGGCUGCCUGCAGUACAUCUGGCUGCCAUGCCAGCUCCCCUUCCUCUCCUCCAGGAUGUGAGGAGGCUGCCAGCCGAUGCAAUAACUUCUUCAGAACCAGGAUCUUCACCGGUGCAGUUUUCUGGGAUUAUAAACAGACCCUUUCAGAUGGCAUCUGCACAGGAGCAACACCGCAGCUCCUCCCGUGCCGUGCAUCUCCCUUCCCAGCAGGACCAACGCACAACGUGGCAGGAACGGGACUUCAGCCUUCCCUGGGCAAGUCAGAAGAGGACGGCUGCGUUCUGCAGGCGCUGUCUCGCUCAGUCCUAGCCCAGGAUCUGCCACUCUCUGCUCGAACCCCGGAGGCGUGCGGUCCCGGUGCCGUGCUGAUGCAGCGAAGGCGCUGGGCUGCGUUUGGUUCUGGAUGACUUCAUUAAGGUCACUUCCAAGCGUAGCAGAGCCGCCUCGUCCAUCUCCAGUCUGAGUUUUGCAAGGACCGUGUAUUUUAAUUAAAGACAUUUAAUUAGUCUGCCCAUAAUCUGUCAAAGCUCGCAUGCCGAGGCAUAAUUAAUGUAUUGAACCUCUACCUUGCAACUUCCAUUAUAUGCACGUUUCCAAAACAAAUCUGCACUUGUGUUUGAAGGGACAUUACAAUAACAGUUCUUAGCACUUCUUGUUACUAGAAUAACAGGAUUGUGCAUUUAUCAAGUGGCUUUCCCCCGAGGCUGUCCAAAGGGCAUCAGUAAGAUGUGUGUGUACUCAGCACCUUCCGAGAUUGAGCCACAAGCACACGAUCAAUAUUUAUAAAUUACACUUCAAACUUAAAGCUGUGUGGGGCUUCCUGGGGGGGUGGGUUAGGCUCUGUUUGGUUUCCAGUGGAAGCAAAACAGAUACUAAAGCCCUGAAUCUGAGUUACACUGAAAGCCAAAUUUUCAGUGCUUAAAAUUCCAAGACAAGCUCUCCCAAAUAGCUCAGCUCCCAUCUGGGAACCCAAAUAAGUGUUUAGAUUGUCAGAAUUGCUUAGCACACGGGGGCUGAGGCUUGGCUGAAAAUGUGCUUUCAGCUAUGGGUGAUCGUUGGCCAUUGGGACCGCCGGCUCUUCCUACAACUGAGUCACGUCGAUGUACUUUAACACGGCACAAUUAGGGCAAUAAGUUAAAUUAUAGGAACACAAGACCGUCAUGAUAAAGAUAGCAUGCUGUCCUUCGGAGAUACCUGGCUCAACGCGAGAGCACAGCCUGGGCUGCCAUGGGGAAGACAGAACAGAAAGCGUAUUUCAGCAGGGAGAUUGCUAAGUGAGCUAACCACUUGGAAUAUUGAAUGGUGGAAG
rnacentral:lncRNA from 1 species